CGAAACUUGCCCCGAGAUGAGUUCUCCCUGAGACUUUAAGUCUCCUGAAGGAACGUUGAAGACGACGACGUUGAUAGGCCGGGUGUGUAAGCGCAGCGAUGCGUUGAGCUAACCGGUACUAAUGAACCGUGAGGCUUAACCUUACAACGCCGAAG
rnacentral:rRNA from 1 species